UACGUGGGGUGCAAGCGUUAAUCGGAAUUACUGGGCGUAAAGCGUGCGCAGGCGGUUAUGCAAGACAGAUGUGAAAUCCCCGGGCUCAACCUGGGAACUGCAUUUGUGACUGCAUGGCUGGAGUGCGGCAGAGGGGGAUGGAAUUCCGCGUGUAGCAGUGAAAUGCGUAGAUAUGCGGAGGAACACCGAUGGCGAAGGCAAUCCCCUGGGCCUGCACUGACGCUCAUGCACGAAAGCGUGGGGAGCAAACAGG
rnacentral:rRNA from 1 species